CAAGAGCGUAUAUUAAAGUUGUUGCAGUUAAAAAGCUCGUAGUUGGAUUUCUGGUACAAUGCGCCUGGCCCGCGACCGUUAGGUCUGUGAGUGCCGGUGCGCGUUUGCCAUCCUUCUAGAAAACGUUUCUGCUCUUUACCGGAGUUGGACUCGCGAUCUAGAUCUUUUACUUUGAAAAAUUAGAGUGUUUAAAGCAGGCUUUUGCUGUGAAUACAUUAGCAUGGAAUAAUAAUAUAGGACUUUGGUUCUAUUUUGUUGGUUUCUAGGACUAAAGUAAUGAUUGAUAGGGAUAGUUGGGGGUGCUAGUAUUCAGCGGCCAGAGGUGAAAUUCUUGGAUUCGCUGAAGACUAACUUAUGCGAAAGCAUUCACCAAGGAUGUCUUCUUUAAUCAAGAACGAAAGUUGGGGGAUCGAAGACGAUCAGAUACCAU
rnacentral:rRNA from 1 species